rnacentral:rRNA from 1 species
UACGAGGGGGGCGAGCGUUGUUCGGAAUUAUUGGGCGUAAAGGGCGCGUAGGCGGUUUGGUAAGUCUUAUGUGAAAUCUACAGGCUCAACUUGUAGUCUGCAUGAGAAACUGCCGGGCUUGAGUAUGGGAGAGGUGAGUGGAAUUCCUGGUGUAGCGGUGAAAUGCGUAGAUAUCAGGAGGAACACCUGUGGCGAAAGCGGCUCACUGGACCAUGACUGACGCUGAUGCACGAAAGCUAGGGGAGCAAACAGG